UGUGGAAAAUCAGAUGUAGUCUUUCUAGGGCUUCUCCCUUAUUCCCUCUCCUCCUCCUCUGUCUUCCCUCUCUGGGAGCUGCUGCCCUAAAAUGUAGUAUUGAUUCACCUUCUUACAGUGCUGUUUAACUAAUUACACAGAUGUGUGUCUCUGCUUCUGAAACUGAGGGUGUAAAUUCUGUUCCUCCAUGUAAUAUCUGAGUGAGGAGGACUUGUCCUCCAAUCUACACAGAUGCUCCUGCCACGCAGCGAUGGCAGAUCAGGAAACCCACGUGGAGAGAAGGGACAAGGGAACCAGUGAUCUAUGACCUGCUGCCUCUCUGGGUCUGGAAAGAGUCAGCAGAUCAUCUGCCCAAGGAUACUUACAUUAUAAAGCUCCUGUUCUUAACAGUAUUUGGUGGUCGUGUUAAAAAAGCAAUUGCGCUUCAGCUCUGACUCCAGCAAAAUAGUUAGAAGGGACUGCCCUCUUUGACCUGCAUCUCUACCACUGCAGCUCUGCUCUCCGGGACCCUGCAUAAGCCCUGCUUCUCCUAGACUCCUGCUUCCUCCUACGCGUGCAUUGGCUUCAGCUGUCUUUGGGGGAGGCGGUGGGUGUGCGUAGAUGUAUGCUGGAUAGUCACUGACUGCCCACAUGGCCAAGCAAAAUGCUUGUUGUACUGCUGCUUCUAGCAUAUCCCGGCUGAGCCACUGCACUUCAUGCUUUCAAGCAUGGGAGAAUGUACGUGCUUCAGUUUCUGCUGCAUUUUCUCUUUCUGGUCACAGGGAAGCAACAUUGGUGCUGAAUAACCAUUACAAAGUUUGCUGGUGGAACAACGUGCAGUAUUGUCUUGCAGGUGGUGCUGCACUAUUUUAGCAAAUUUGCUUGUAACAGCCCAGAGUUUAAAGUCUAUUAAGAGUAAAUCCACAGUUUUCUAUUUUAGCUAUAAAGAAAGAAGAGAUCCGCGCAAACCAAAAAAAGAAUGAGGAAACCUUAUUAGUUACCUUUCAACUCAGCCAUAAAGACAGCCCUAGCUUCCACCCUCCUUUCAGAAAAAUCUCUAUCCUGGACCAUAUUCCAAACACCUUAAAGUUUAGUAUGGUAACUUAAAGUUGCUAGUCCAAGCUAUGAAUCUUGUAAUCAGGCGUAUCUCAUGAUAGUUCACCCUUGUAUUGUUUUGUUCUACUACUGUCAGUUACUGAUAAUUUGCCUGGGUACUGGAAAUUAGGAUUCAUAUUCACUGCCCAAGAAUCCUGCCUGUGCAUGAAGCAGCAGGGGCAGAGCGGUCAGUACCUCUCACCAUCUCCACGUCAACAGCACCAUAAAUGGACGAUACUGCUGCAGUGCCAUCAUGUGAAGACAGAUUAUAAACCUCACUAAAGACUUAUUCAAACAGGACUAAUUUUUUUUCCCUAGGAUUAUAAAGAACAAGACGCAGAAAUGGUUAAAUUAGCCACAAACACAAGGUCAAGCAGCAAUUCUGGAGUCAGAUUAGCAUCAGAAAGCUGGAGCCAUCUGGACUUUGAGCUUACAGCAGGCUCUGAUGUUUUUCCAUGUGUACCGCUUUCCUCAGUCAUAUAGAAACAGUCUUUGAAUUUGUAUCUCUACUAAACGCAACUUUGGAUUCCAUUCCUCCUAAGCACCAGCAGCUUCCUCGUUAGCUGCUGAUAUGUGUGCUUAGUUAAAAUAAUAUUCCUGCUCUAAUUUUCCCUCUUAAGUGGGGACCUGCUGGGACAAAGAAUUGAAUUGUGAAAUGUUUACUACUGUAGGAGACAGCUAGCACCAAAGUUGUACCAAUACCUUAUCAAUCCAGCAGUGCAAGGAUAUUCUGUAACUACACUAUUCCUUUUCCUUUUGAUUUUUUGAAACUUUUCCUCUUUAGUUGGUAUGUCAAUUGAGAAAACACAGGAGUCUCCUGUUAGCUAAUCUAUAAUACUGUAAGGUAGAACUUACAGAUUGAAAUCAUUAGAACAGGCAACAAUUUCCCAGUUGAAAUAGUAAACUUGGCCACCUUUUUUACUAGCUUCUUGUACAGUGUAUAAUUUAUCAAAUGUGUAAUUAUGUGAACUUAGACUAUGCUAUUUUUUAUGUUGUAUGUUUAACAUACAACGUAGAAUGAGAGGUUCAGGAUUCAGGGGAAUGCAACAAAAUACCUGAAUGUUUUUAAUUUGGAUUUAGACAUCUGAGCUAGGCUCUGAUGUGGGUCAUUGGCCUCAGCCCGAGCUGUUACAAUUUUCUGGAGUUUUUUCGUUCUUUGUUUCUGCUUUGUUCUGUUCCUUUUUUGUUGUUCUUCCAGCUUUCUCUUUUCCUCAAGUGAAUCCCUGGUGGAAAAAUAAACUAAGGCUGAAUUCAUUUUAAGUCAAGAGCAAGACUUCAAAGGAAACUUUGGCAAAGGAGAUUCAAAAGAGAAAAACAGGGUGGAAACAGGGUUGGCAUAAGAGGACACGAGCUUCUCUGAUAGUCAUCUGGAAAGGCCUGGGCACAGUAACUUUUGGUGACCAUGCUUUCUGUUUCUUCCAUAUCAUUCUGAAGGCUGGUGAGCUUGGUAAGCUGUGUUUGGUGUGAGAGAUGUAGUCUUCCACAGAAAACCCGUCCCACAUUUUUUCGAUCCGUUGCUUAGCAAAUGCAGAUGAUCCAGUUUCACUACCAUUUUCUUCAAAUGCUAAUUCUCUGUCAGACUUAUCAGAUAUACUAG